rnacentral:rRNA from 1 species
GUCGAGAAUCAUUCGCAAUGGGCGAAAGCCUGACGGUGCGACGCCGCGUGGAGGAUGAAGGCCCUAGGGUCGUAAACUCCUGUCAUCAGGGAGUAAAGACUCGUGUAGUCACUGACACGGGUCCUGAUAGUACCUGAAGAGGAAGGGACGGCAAACUUCGUGCCAGCAGCCGCGGUAAUACGAAGGUCCCAAGCGUUGUUCGGAUUUACGGGGCGUAAAGAGUCUGUAGGCGGCGGGGUAAGUCAGAUGUGAAAUCCCGGGGCUCCACCCCGGAACUGCAGCCGAUACUGCCUUGCUAGAGUGUUGGAGGGGAGUCUGGAAUUCUCGGUGUAGCAGUGAAAUGCGUAGAUAUCGAGAGGAACACUAGUGGCGAAGGCGAGACUCUGGACAAUUACUUACGCUGAGAGACGAAGGCCAGGGGAGCGAAAAGGAUUAGAAACCCCAGUAGUCC